GAACUAUCUAGUAGCUGGUUCCCUCCGAAAUUUCCCUUAGGAUAGCUGCAACCGAACAGUUUUAUCAGGUAAAGCGAAUGAUUAGAGGCAUCAGGGACGGAAUGUCCUUGACCUAUUCUCAAACUUUAAAUGGGUAAGAGCCCUGGGUUGCUUAAUUGAACCUGGCGGUGGAAUGACGGUUGCUAGUGGGCCAAUCUGGGUAAGCUAGAUUGGCGAUGCGGGAUGAACCGAACGUUGAGUUAAAGUGCCAAAGUAUCCGCUAACCUAGAUCCCACAAAAGGUGUUGGUUCAUUAAGACAGCAGGACGGUGGCCAUGGAAGUCGGAA
rnacentral:rRNA from 1 species